UCCAGUAUGUGCACUUCAGUCAGUUGAAUAAGGAGAACUCAGCUAGAAGAAAAAAAGGAAAAGAUUAGUCUCAUGGCACUCACAGCUGUUCAUUCAGAAGAAAAUGCAGAUGAAACCUUCUCUGGCUCAAGCAAUUUCCAAAAGUUACGAAUGGGAGAAGGGAGACAGAACUGUUCGACUUGUUGCAAAUACUCCUCUGCAUGGCUCAAACUGAGAUGAGUGAAGGACGGAGAAAACGUGGAGAGAGACCAAUAUACACCAGUUCCUUUGUUGCUCACCCAUCAAUCCAGAGAGGAAGAAUGUGUUUUUUAAUCAAGUCCAGGAUUGCUUCAAGCCAAACCCAAAAGAUUAAAGUCUUUGAAGAUUAGCUGUGACAUGGAAGUCCCUCAUAGCAAUGUUUCCAGCGGAAGAGCCACUAAUGAAGUUCAAAUGACUGGAAAAGUAGAUGCCCCACAGUGCAACCAGUGCACACCCAGAGUAGCCCCAGUGCUGUGCCUCCUUUGAUCUCCUUAAAAGCAGUUCAGGAAGGCACUUUGCUCAGCAACCAUCUGUAGCUGAGGAACAGGAGCUAUGAACCUGACUGGUUUUAGGAGCUUCUCUGUAAACAAGAAGUGGUGAGUAAUACUACCCAGGACACACUAUGCCUCAGAUGAAACACCAAGCACUCCCUCCCUGCCUGCUCCUUCCUGGGCAGUGGGAGGAGACCUGAUUAAUGGUACCCUGCUGAUUUCCAUGUCAAAUAACAGUGCCAAAGAUCUGUCACUAGGCAUUUCUCCCUGACAGCUCCAUGGCUGUGAGGACAGUAACUACGGCGUCGCUGCACGCUUCCUCAACACCACUGCACUUUAGGUCCAGUAAUAUAUUCACAGUCCCCUUCGUUGGGCAUAUUCCAAUCUCUCUCUCUCUAGUGUCUGGAUGUAGCUUUGGGAAGGGAAUAGAGCAGUGGGGGAAAUGGCUGUGAUCUUCCUGCAAAGGAUUGAGGGGGGUGUCCUGUGGAACUGAGGUCCAGCAGCAAGAGCCAGGGCAAAUUAACUGCAGCAAAGAGUGGUUGUGCUCCUGGCUGUGCUCCAGCCCAGUGCCUGACUCCUUAGGGAGCCAAUCCAGGCUUCUAACUGGCAUGGAAAUGACUCAUGCUUUUUUUACUGACUGGGUUUUCUGCUCCUUGGUGGACUGAAACUGCUCAGCAAAGGAUCAGUUUAUUAUUAAGGAUGAGCACAGGUGAAGUUGGGAGAGGGGGGAACAGUCCUGCCUUGUUUCAGCUGUUAUGGCUAAGCCUGUCUCAUCCAUCUGUACCUUGAUUAGAGAGGGAAAAGUCCUGUUACUAAUAAGGCUUGGGAUGAAAGCUGUGGGAAAAAUCUGCCACUGCUCUAAGUCCACUGAUGGGCAUAUGAAUUCCUCUGUUAAUUUCUGCUUGUGGCUGUUAUUUAUUUUUGGUAGUAAAACAGGGUUUCACCUUCCCCCUAGAUGGUCAGUAAGUGGCCAUUGAUACCUUUGAGGCUUACCUUAGUCCCAGCUUACCACUGCCCAACAGAAUUCCAGCACUGCAAGGGUUUAAAGGGGUCCAAAAAAGCUAUUUAACCAAGUCAAGAAGAAGUAAAUAUCCUCUCUUGGAGCUGGAAAAAUGCAUAUAUGUAGAAGAGGCUUAAAAAAAAAUAAAUUCUGACAGUGAGUUGUGUUAAAAUUCCCCACAAAGGAUGCCGGUUAUUAGGGACUUCCCUAGCAUUUCUAGAGACAAUUCAUAUGCAAAACUUUCAAAAACUCUUUCUUCCUCUCCUUUUCUUUGUUUUCUUAAGAGAAAAACAUCUGAAUCAAGAGAUGGCAGUGGAAAUUCACUUUUCCCCCUCCCUUUCUUUCUUUCUUUCUUCUCUAACUCAUAUAUCUGUAGAAACCAGCUGGGUCCAUAGUGAUUCCCAUACUUAUGCCAGGCUGGUGCUUCUUCAACUUCAUUCAGUUUGAGUAGAUGCCAAGAAGGUCAAUAGAGAGCUGCCACCGGUGCUCCUGAAGCAGCCCCUUUUGCAGUAAGGGAGCAGAUGGAUUGCAACUCAUCAGUAAUAAAUUGAUAAAUGAAUUGUAACACUAAGUAUCUCAAGAAUUGCAACUUAUUGAAUAACAAUACCUACUAAAAGUCACAAUAACCGUGGUUUUGACUCUGGAAAAAUAAUAACACUAAGAAAUUUCUGCCUGUGUUUUAUACUUCUCAGCUGUAAUUACACUUUGGAAUGUACUGCUUGGUAUUCCCUUAUUAUUCAUCUACUGCCAGCUCUUGUUGCUGUGCACUUCCAUUUUAUCUUUGGCUGAGGGCAGAAAUUGCCCAACAUGACCUUGAUUUCUGAAUGACUAAUUGAAAGCUAUCUCCUAUCAGCAAAGAGUAGUGUAAGUUGGAAAAUUAAAGAAUUUUAACCAAAAAUGGCUCGUUAGAUGGGGGAAUCCUGACUUAAAAUGACAUGAACACUAGCAGCCAGAAGAGGAAGAAUGUGGAUUCUUUAGAUAUGCAAAAUUGUGUUAAUAAAUUUAAACAUGUAAAGAGAAAAUGUAUAUUUGUCUUUUGACAAAUACCAACACAGAGAAAUUGAGGAUUCGCUUUCCUUCUUUCAAAUGAAAAUAUCUGCUAAUAUUACUGUAAUUUUGUUGCUAGAAGUUUUCUUUCUCCUCUCUUCUAUUCCAAUGAGGUCUUUCCAUGCCAUGAGUUACAACAAACAAAAAGUCAUCUUAUUUGGACUGGAUUCUUCUCAAGAACUGCCAGCAUGAUGCUAAAUUUAAGCAAACAGGGGGAACUUGAACUUUCAUUCUGAACAGGUGACAAUUUUCUGAGAAUGCUGAUGACAUUUCCUUGGAGAAAACCUUCCUACUGCCACCCGGCAUGCACUCUUUGCACUCCAGGGACAUCUGUUGUGACAGUACCUUACUAGAUCAUGGAGAAAAACAAAGAGGCAUUUCUGCAAAAACAGUUUGUACGUUAUAGCAUGCAGAGUUUAUGCCCUUUAGCCAAAUUUUAAAACAGCUUGAACUCUUUGGAGUAUGUUAAAGGCACAUGAAACAGUGGCUGGGGAAAUGCAAGGUUAGAUUCUGUAAGCUGCAAGGUCAUGGAGAAACUUUAAAAUACAUAUUAUGACAUUUAAAAAUACAUGUGCUUUCAAAAAGAACACCAAAAAAGUGUCAGUUUUAGUAUCUGCUUACUCUGACAGAAAUGAAGAAAUCUAGACCAGAGUCAUUCUCUUUCUCUUGUUUUCUUCCCAUUUUUAAAAUUUCAGAAUUUCAGCUGGUUUUCCUGUGGGCAGCUCCAUCACAAAGUGGAUCACUCCCAGCCACACUAACACUGACUGCUUUCCAUGUGUCAAAGGGCUCUGGACACUGCACACACCUAUCAGUGAAUACUGGAUGUGCACUACCUGAGCAACUGGCUCUGUUUUCAGUGGUGAAAGCAGGGGAUUAGGUGUUAGUUGGUCUCGACUUGUAAUGUAGAAGGAUGUGCUAUGAAACCUUUAGAAAGUCAGUCAGGGGUUUGCCUGAUUAUCUCUGUGUUUUCAAGGUGACCUAAAAAUGGACUUGAGUAGGUUUUGGUGCUUUCCAAUUCUGAAAAUUGGUUCAGAAUUUGGUCAGGUUUUCUCUUCUUUUCUCCUUUUUCUUUUCUUUUUCUUUCCUUUUUUUUUUUUUUUAACUCUAAAACCAUCAGGUGUAUUUCUUCUCAUUUCUGUUAGAAAAAGCCCUUCUUGAGCCUUUUAAUUGUAUACAACAGGAGCUUUACUUGGAGGUGUGGAAGGGUUAUUUAGUAUGACCAUUGAAGAUUUGUUCAUACUGAAUGAAUAUUUAAAGAAGCUGAUGGAAGGGAGGAGAGAUAGGAAACAGCAAGACAAAGUCAAGCAAAAAUACAUUUCCUUCCCUAUAGCUCACUUGAGAUAUGUUUAUUUUCCUAAGUCUGAUACUCAGCAUCUUUCUGGAUAAGCAAAUAUCUCAUCUUUCAUAAAAUCAAAAACAGGGAGAAAAACCCGUUUUGUCUAUCAUUUUGUUUUUUGAAAGAAAGAAAGAUUUGGUUUAGCUGUGAAUCUCGGAUGUGUGGGUGGGAAGGCAUAGCUGUACAUACAUAUUUCCCGUUUUCACCUUCAAAUAUGACAAAUAACACUUCACCUUGAUUUGUUUUCUAUCUUUGUUUAUGCAUCCAGGCAGAAAGUCUAAUGAAGACAACAGCAGAAUACAGAGAAAGAGUUGGUCCUUGUGUCAUCCUGAUAAAGGUUAAGUGCUUGGGAGUUUUUUUGAAAGCUUGUACUUAAACAGGCAGUAUUCUUACUAAAAAAAUCUUCUACUAGAAAGAUGCCUCUGUUUUAUCUAGGUCUUUAAGAGGAAGUACCUGCAACACUAUCUAUUUAGACUGCUCUUGUUGUACUUUUAUUUUUAGAUUUUUCCUUUCACCUCUCAAAAUAUGUGCGAAAACUUAAAGGCAACCUCAUUGUUUUAGAAAACUCCUAUGAUGUGUGGGAAGUCCUAAUACACAGCUUUGUAGUCUUGCAGUUUUCUCAUAGUGUAUGAUGCAUAACUUCCAGAUGAUCAUAAUUUUUUCUGGGGGCAUGUGCAACUAAAUUGCAAUAGGCAAAGCUGUAAAAGCACAGUGAACGAGCUAUGAAGGCAGAGGUUUUUUUUCUCCACCCCUCAAAUUCCACUGCUGAGUCCCUCCCAGCAGACACUAAAAGCACUCAAGGAAUAACUACAGAAACAGCAGAUUUCUGUGCAGGUAGGAUGAGAUAAAGCUACAGAAAAUACAUUUCUGUAGAAAUCAUCAUCAGACAGUAGAACUGUAUAGACAGGGAGGGGUGAAUAAUGUAGGGCAGUUCUUAUUUGAUAUUUACUUGAGAAUUAAAAACUUCUUGUUUAAAUGAGAUUUAUUUGAAAGUAAGUUAAAAUACCAUGUUCCCUAUGAAAAAGUGUAUAACAUCAGAGGACAGAGAGGGCUGAUCUCCACAUGCCCCUCCUCCUCUGGGCACAAAGACCUGAGUAUUAUUAACUAAUCUCUCAGGCAGAUGUUCAACUGAAACUGGGCUCUUAAUACUUCAGAAUGAACAAAGCCCACAAGAGGUUAUUUAGUUUGCUUGUAUUUUUACUUCUGUCUGCAAGUUAACUCUUUCUCAUUCUACAAAAACAAACAGAAAGAUUUGUAAACUUUUUUUUGCAUUCUUUAAAUAAUAACUAGAAACCCCAAAGUACUUUACUUGUAACAAGUAACCUUUUUCAGUCUUGUACCAAUAAUUUAAAAAAACCUUUAUCAGCUGCAGUCACUAGGCUGCAGUUGCUAGGAGCAGACACCUAGCUGCUUCAGCAAACAGCCUUCUGUGCGGGGUUUCCCAUUUUGCACGCCAAAAUUUUCCAUAAACAGCUUUAAUGGUUGCACUGAAAAACUCACUGGGAGCAGUGUAAUACAACCUGAAUUGUGUUAGACAGCAGGACACACUGGCUCAAAACACAUCCUGCUUUACCGUGUUGAGUUGUUGAUCUGGCAGGCUACACGAGUGCUAAAUACGUGUAAAUAACAUUUUGAAAUGGAUCUUGCGUGGUUUAUUAGGAACUUUCUCUAUUUUGUUCCAUUCUCACCCUUUUGUAAGCUUUAACAGGAAACUGCAACUAAAACAUCAAUGGCUGUUUCCACUCUUUGCAACUGUUUCUCAGCACAGGGCUUAUUAGAAUUGUUUGUCGAGCACCAACUGGAAUGUCCUGUUUCGGAUCUAAUGCUAUUUUGUCCACUUUCUUUGAUAUACUGAAAUGAAUAAUCUUAGGAUUCUUCCUUGCAUUCCUCAUGCAUGUUCCUUUCUGGUACAGAGGCUUUUGUAAACUGUCACUUGAACUAAGGAACCUUUAUUUGUUCACUUAGUUCUCUUCCAAGAAGAACAGGGGUGUUCAGUGCCCACUGCACAUGGAAACAAACUGGGCAGUAUAACCAGGAACAUGACACCGAAUCAGGAAUGCACUGCUGGGUUACUGUUUUAAGCAGCAUCAUGUAAAGAUGUAUCUGUAGAAAAAAAGUGCCUUAAUGUAUGUUGUUUCAGAUGACAGAAGAUACUUUCAGAAGCUAUUCCAGACCUUUCCAUAAAAACCAGACAGAGCUGUGUAGGGUAAAGUAAUGUAACUAAAGAACAAUUUCCCAGCUACUUACUAUAACUUCCAAAAGCUUGUUUUUAUAUAACUGGUUGGUGUGAAUCAGCAGAUCUGGUGCUUCUGCCUGACCUCUCCCUUUGUAAACAGACCCUAAGGUGUUAAUGGUGGGUGUACCCACAGACCUGCUCAUUCAGGCAUAAUCCCAUUACCCUCCCUCCCCUCAUCUUAGGCUCUAGCAGGGUUGGGGAGUUGGUAAAGUUCACCAAUACUGGAGAAUCUGCUGUGACAAUUAAAUGAAUUUCAUGAAUAUACAUAAUUUACAGCAAAUUGUUCCCCAGAGCACACAGUAUACUCAUUAACUCAGGCUUCAAUGGUAAAUGAACAGAGCAGCCCUUCUUAUUCCUGAAAUCUGUUAUUUCACUUCUACAAAGGAAAAUUUAUGUGAUCAGAUUUCACCCUGAAUACCCUAAAUAGAGAAGUGACACAGAUGCAUGUUGCCAUUAAUGAGAAGGGAUUGCUUUCAGAAGUUGUCUUGAGACUAGAGCAUAAAUAAGGGCUUCAGUUAUGAGUAGGAUGAUUCUGGGAAUUUCUGCUUUUGUCCUGAUGGGGUUGUUCUGCACCUGUCACAGAGCACAGCACAGACAGAGGCUCUUCCUGAGAGCUCAUCUGAACCCUCACUUGGGCCAGGCUGCAUUCCACGGAGCUACUUCUUGUCUAGCAAGAGGAGUGCUCCAGCUUUUCAGCUUGGAGUGUGUGUGGGGAAAGACAUCCCAGAGCUGAACAGGCAGCUGCCACCAGCAUCGUUCCUGAAUGGAGCGGUGGGACACAGGGGCACAGUGCACAUCUCUAAUUCCCAGGCUCCCCUUGUCUCCCUGGUUGCAGCCUGCCUGCUCUCUCGCAACCCAGGAUUUUGGCACGUGAGUCAGGAACGUGGACAGUGCCUGUCUUCCAUGAGAGUCUCUGAGCACUAAAUCCUGGUGUAUGGCACGGGGGCUUACAUCAGGGACAGGUGUACACUGUCACGUAGAAAAGUUCCUUCUGAAAACUGGGAUGUAAUCAUCCACAGGCCAAGGUCAUGCAGACUCCUACAUCUGCAAUUUGGUUCCUAGAAGUGCCAGGCAGCUCUUCCAAGCUUAACAUCUGCCCUUUACAUUUUGUUGUCAUAACAACAGCACAAACCAUCUCCUCGUGACUAAUCUGCUUUGCUUUUCUCCAUCUAGAUUUUAAGAAGGAGAAAGAACUAUAAGCAUGGUUUCCCUGCUCUUUCCCCCACUGCCUCUGAACAUUUUCUCCCUCUUCCCUUUCCAAGACUGCUGCUGAGGGGAGCAGGAGCUCUCUAGAAAGAUGGACAGAGAAUUUAACCUUAGAAAGUGACUGUGCUGUUCUGUCUCCCUCUGAAGAGUGCAGCAACAAAAGGCUGCUCUGCUAUAAAAAUGAAUCCAAUUUACGGACUAGAGAAGUAAUAAUAAUGUAGGAAGCAAAAAUGAAGGAUUUGAACCUAAAAUGCUGACCCUGAUUUUAAUACAGUAUGUGCAUUUAUACCAGAUUAAUGUCAAGAAGAAGAGAUGUUUCAAUGCAAGCAAGAAAUAGAGAAGCAAAUUACAGAGAGCUAGCAGUGACCACAGCUGCUUAGCUAAGUUUCUUAACACUAUUUUCAAGUGCUUAUAACUUUUUCAAAUUACAUAUUUCCUGAAAAACUAUUCAAAGUGUUUCUUUUUGCCUGCAGAUAAUUUUGGAAAUGUAACAGUCUAAGCAGGAAUGCCACACUCCAUAGUUAUUUCUCUAAUGGUGAGGGAAUAGGGAUGUUCCCUGUGAUCUAAAAGCAGAGGUGCCAGGCAGACCCAUCUUCCUGUCUGGACUACUGCUCUUUGCCCUUCACAACCCCCAAGGUUGCCCAAAACUUUGUAUUGCAACUGAGACAGGCAAAUUCUCUCUUCUUUCACUAUUUCCAUGCUUAUUUUCACAGAACAACUAACAUAUUUAUGUAGAGAUGUUUCAGUAAACAGUCAGAAUAGAAUAUUUUCUCAAUUUUAUAACAAAAAUCUCAGGGAAAUCUUUUAGGUGAGGCAUGCUUGGCUGUGGUGCUGGAGACUCUUAGAAAUAACACUCUCCAGAUUCAGGAACAGCACCAGGAAUCUUGAUCCUAAGGAGUCCUUGUCUGCUUAGUAAACAGCUGCACAGGCCACUUAUGAAGUGUGCAUUGCUUCC